GGUGAGAUGGCCGAGCGGUCUAAGGCGCCAGACUAAGGAUAUCAACUUAAGAUUUCCAAUAUCUGGUCUCUUCGGGGGCGGGAGUUCGAAUCUCCCUCUCAUCA